CAGCUACUCAGGAGGCCGAGGCAGGAGAAUCGCUUGAACCCAGGAGGCUGACAUUACACCACUGCACUCCAGCCUGGGCAACAAGAGCAAAGCUCCGUCUCAAAAAAAAGAAAAGAAAUACUAGGGAAAAAUGUUUUAACUAGUCAUUCUUCCGAGUAGCUAACGAAGCUGACUUUUGAAAAGAAGGCUGUGAGCUUUGCAGAUGCUGCUACCGCCUGGAGCCCCUUGCAUCCAGCCAUGGUCAACCCCAUGUUUUUCAACAUUGUCGUCGAUGGCAAGCCCUUGGGCUGUGUCUCCUUUGAGGUAAGGGGCCUAGAAACCAAGAAGUGACUGUUCACCUAAUCCAUAAAACUAUGUUAGCAGAUUGGAGCUGUUUGCAGUUCCAAAGACAGCAGAAAACCUCCGUGCUCUGAGCACUGGAAAGAAGGGAUUUGGUUAUACGGGUUCCUGCUUUCACAGAAUUCUUCCAGGGUUUGUGUGUCAGAGUGGUGGCUUCACACGCCAUACAGCAUUGGUGGCAAGUCCGUCUGCAGGGAGACAUUGGAUGACAAGAACUUCAUCCUGAAGCAUACAGGUCCUGGCCUCUUGUCCAUGGCAAAUGCUGAACCCAGCACGAACGUUUCCCAGUUUUUUAUCUGCACUGCCAAGACGGCCAAAGCUGAGUGGUUGGAUGGCCAAACGUGUGGUCUUUGGCAAGGUGAAAGAUGGCAUGAAUACUGUGAAGGUCAUGGCGCACUUUGGGUCCAGGAAUGGCAAGAGCAGCAAUUUGCAUGAAGAUCACCAUUGCUAACUGUGGAUAACUGUAAUAAAUUUGACUGGUGUUUCUUUUAAAAAAAAAAAAAAAAAAAUACCGUGCCAGACCAAGUUGUCGUAAGAGCUAUGUGUUCACGUGUAAUGAAGACCAGUAUUUAACUGUGGGAACCGUGGGUGGCGUGGCGAAGGAGACAGUGUCCGUGACUGUGCCGCUCUCCGCAGCCCCGUCUGCUGUCCUGUUUCCUCGGCGGCUCGGUGUCUGGACUGGCGUUCCGGGUGUCCCAGCGGAAAACUAAAGGGCCAGAGAGGUGUAAACACACACACCACUUGGCAGGUAAUUUCCCCAUGUGCUAUCUUUUUAGGGAUCCCGAACACACAGCCUUUCCCAAAAGACUGCUCCCUCCAGCUACUGAGGAAUGAUGACAAGAAAAGGCCGAAUUGCAGUGUCUCCAUCAGCAGUUUGCUCUCUCUGGGCACACAAUGACAAAAUUUCCUGAAGCGAACCACUAGUCUGACCUCAGUAGCAGGAUUGGAAGCUUCAUGCCAUGGGAGUGGUCAAGAAAGGCAUCCCAAAGAGAACUGAACUAUUAAAAAAAAAAAAAAAUAGACCUUUAGGAAUAGGUGAUUGUCCCAUAUACUGGGGAUGAAAUACCCAGUGUAACCAAAUUCCCCAGUAAGAUCGCUUAGUUUGGCAAUAGUCUCUUUUGAGCACGCUGAAGUUUAUUUGCUCAAUGAAGGCUGAAAUUAUAAGUCAGUAUAUAUGUAUUACUAAGUAGAACUUGAGGUAAUUAUGUUUUAGUCAAAAGCAGUUUCUGUGGGCUUAGUAUAAACCCUACUUUGUGAUUUGCUAAAGCACAGGAUGUUGACUCAAACCAAAACUAGUUUUGUAGUUAAUAUAUGUUGUGUUUCUGUGACUUAAUAGUCAACUAGAAAAGCCACCUACGACAUUCCCAGCUAAUUAAGUUUUAAAAUUUUUUUAAAAAAUACUUGUCACCAUAUUUUCAGAAAUGCUAACAUUUGGAUUACUAGUUAUAAAAGUGAAAUUUCUACUGUGUCAUAAUCAGCCACACAGCUGGAGACUUGCCCUCUUUGUACAGCAAAGUUGUGAAAAAAGUAUUUGCACUACAUUCAUUUAAACAUUAGGGAAAAAAAACCAACCCAUGCUUUUCUUUGCUGAGUUGUAGGGUUGUAUUAUUGGCUAGUGAGAAGCCUGGGAACACCAGGACUGUGUGUGGGUGACUACAGGUAUCAGAUCCAGGAUUAUACACGUACUCUUGGAAGUGUCUUGGGGAUUUUCCUGGUAAGAACAACAGUGAUUGCAAAAAAAAAAAGACAAGAUGUAAAGUGAAAUCAGUAAAACAUCUUAGUAGACAGAGGGUGCUGACAUUUUAACAAAUGUGUAAAAAGUUCUUCCUAUACAUUAAUUUUCCAGAUACCCUUAAAAUGUUUAAGGAAUAUCAUUCAAAAUACUGUUUGAGAGACAUGUGACCAUCAUUCUCCAAGGGAAAUGUGGAUCAUUUAGUGUGCUACUUAAAAUUAGGUGCAAAUGUAUAUGUACACUGUAAGAAUAAAAAUCGAUACCAUUUCUUUAAAGCUAUCUAAAAGUUAAUUAUUUCUAAUAGUUACAUUUUAGGAUCUCAAACUAUUUUUCUUUUGAAAUAACUGCUUUCUACCCUAAGGUGUUACUUAUUGCUGUCUUCUUUUUAACAGGUGAAGAUAUUAAAGCUAGAAAUUGGAACUAGAAAAUCUAAAGAAUUCAAGGCAUCUUAACGUGACAGUUAACUCAUUUGAUUACAAAGUUCAUUGCAGUUAUUGAAUCUUUUUUGAGUGCGGUGGUGCCAUUGAUGCUUACUGCAGCCUCAAUCUCCCAGGCUCAAGAAAUCUUCCCACCUCAGCUUCCAGAGUAGCUGGGACUACAGGUGCAUGCCACGCCUUGUUAUUUUAUAUUUUUUCAAUAUAAACGAGGUCUUGCGAUGUCAUCCAGUCUGGUCUUGAACUCCAGUGAUCCUCCCACCUUAGCCUCCCAAAGUGCUGGAAUUACAGGCGUGAGCCACCAAACCCAGCCACCAAUUUUACUUUAGGUAAACUUUUAUUUUCAAGCAGCUUUUGUUGGUGUUGCAAGUACAAAUCAUGACUGUAAAUAUAACCACUAUUCUUUGUAAGCCAUUUAAAAUUUUAGUCUUUCAAGUAAACACCAAUAUUGUGGUUUUGAUCCUCA